UGGGGGGUCAUCUAAUGGUAGGAUACGUGGCUCUGGACCACGGAAUGUAGGUUCGAUUCCUACCCCCCCAG
rnacentral:tRNA from 1 species